rnacentral:rRNA from 1 species
CCUACGGGUGGCAGCAGUGGGGAAUAUUGGGCAAUGGGCGCAAGCCUGACCCAGCAACGCCGCGUGAAGGAAGAAGGCUUUCGGGUUGUAAACUUCUUUUGUCAGGGACGAAGCAAGUGACGGUACCUGACGACUAAGCCACGGCUAACUACGUGCCAGCAGCCGCGGGAAUACGUAGGUGGCAAGCGUUAUCCGGAUUUACUGGGUGUAAAGGGCGUGUAGGCGGGGAAGCAAGUCAGAUGUGAAAACCACGGGCUCAACCUGUGGCCUGCAUUUGAAACUGUUUUUCUUGAGUGCUGGGGAGGCAAUCGGAAUUCCGGGUGUAGCGGUGAAAUGCGUAGAUAUACGGAGGAACACCAGUGGCGAAGGCGGAUUGCUGGACAGUAACUGACGCUGAGGCGCGAAAGCGUGGGGAGCAAACAGGAUUAGAUACCCUUGUAGUC